rnacentral:misc_RNA from 1 species
GGCCAUUUCAAACACAUUUUUACAGUAGUUGGCAGUACUCAAUAGGUUGUUCAAUUUCAGCUUGUGUUCGUCACAAAAGGUCCAUGCAAGUCAUAAUAUCUUGGUAAGAAAUAAAGAAAGUCUAAAGUUCUCAUUUCUCAAUAAUAUCUUGAAAAUCAGAAAAUAAGAUUUUUUUGCACAAGUCAUAGUUCUUUGAACUUGUGUUCAAUUCAAGAGUGAUUAGUGAAUCACUUUUUGAAUUAUGCACAAAACUACAGCAUGUGAACAUGUCAGCAACUAUUUCCUAUUUGAACAUCUGGUAACUAAAGAGUUCUGUUGGUGAUUAGAAGAAUAGUAUGCCUGAAAUUUCAUACAUUUUGUCUUCAGAAGAUAGAUUAAUCCAAAGUUUAAGCCCUUUUCUGCUCCUCUCCAAAACUUCAAGCCCUUUUGUGUUCCUUCUUCUGUAGGCAUUUCUGAGUGGAUUAUCCCUUUUCCUGCAGUCAUCCACCGAACCAAAAAGAAAAAAAGAAAAAAAUAAAAUCCAAUAAAGAACAAGGAACUAAAUAGUUCUAUUCAAUUUUUGCAUAUAACACCACAUUUGUAUUUGGUUUAAAUCAAUAAAAUGAGAAUAAAGAUCCAAUUGAAAUACUUUGCCUGCACAUCUCCAGUGUGAAUUCUACCCUUAUGCCCUGCAAUGUUGACAAAGGUUUUGCAAUUUUUUUUAAAAUUAUUUAUUUAUUUAGGUUUAUGUUAAGAUUCAUCAUCUUCUGGUUAUUUUGCAAAUUAAGCAUAAAGAUUAGUGUUUGGACAUCUUCCUUCCUGUUUAUGCCUCUAUUUGAUACUCACUUUUGAGUAUACUGUUUACAUAUCUCAUGUUUUGAACUUAGCUAAAAUUAUUAUGCAGCUCAUUCUGAUACGACUGUGGCUAGGAUGCUGGUUGGGAAC